rnacentral:rRNA from 1 species
GAUGAACGCUAGCUACAGGCUUAACACAUGCAAGUCGAGGGGCAGCAUGAACUUAGCUUGCUAAGUUUGAUGGCGACCGGCGCACGGGUGAGUAACACGUAUCCAACCUUCCGUUUACUCAGGGAUAGCCUUUCGAAAGAAAGAUUAAUACCUGAUAGUAUGGUGAGAUUGCAUGAUAACACCAUUAAAGAUUUAUUGGUAAACGAUGGGGAUGCGUUCCAUUAGGUAGUAGGCGGGGUAACGGCCCACCUAGCCUGCGAUGGAUAGGGGUUCUGAGAGGAAGGUCCCCCACAUUGGAACUGAGACACGGUCCAAACUCCUACGGGAGGCAGCAGUGAGGAAUAUUGGUCAAUGGGCAGAGCCUGAACCAGCCAAGUAGCGUGAAGGAUGAAGGUCCUACGGAUUGUAAACUUCUUUAUACGGGAAUAAAGUUUCCUACGUGUAGGAUUUUGUAUGUACCGUAUGAAUAAGCAUCGGCUAACUCCGUGCCAGCAGCCG